GGCGAUUCAAGUCAAUACUUUAUAAUAACUGUAUAGAUAAGUUAUUGUCUAUCAAUAAAUUAAUUCAUUUCAUAGUAUAGUUAGCAAGAAAUCAUGUCAUGGAGUGUCAUCGGCACCCAGGCAGUUGGUUCCAUCUCUUCACUCUUCAAUAUUACCUCUACAAUAACGACAGCACCCUCUAUCUACGACAAGGAUUCCAUUACCCAGUUCUACAAGAUCUUCGCACCGGUGUUGGUCACCUUUUUCACCGGCGGCUCCAUCUCUCAGCAAUGUUUCGGCAUUAUCGGUGCCGCUGCUGAUCCGUGGCUGCAGGCGUUUCUUACCUUUUUCUUUAGCCUUGUCGAUACUAACCACGAUGGUGUUCUGACCCCUGCGGAUACAUCUCCACUCGGAAUUUUUAUAGUUUUCAUUGAAUUUCUCAUUCUGGGUGCAGAUACAGGGAAUGACUAUUCUAUAUCUCUGGCCGAGUUCACGUCGUUUUUAAACGUGGCGCCCUUCCAGCCAAACGAGGUCUACAAGAAUGCUUUGCUGGUGAUGUUCUCAGCUCUGGAUCUUGACCAUGACCAGAAACUUAGCUUCUUUGAUAUCGUUCCUGUCAACAUCUUAGGUUGAAAUGUCAGACGUUUCAUGGUUCACCGCCUUCAAAUCAAAUUUAUAUUUAUUAGAAAACGUCUUUUUUUAUUUCUCUUGUUUUCCAAGUGAUAAAAGGGAGAGAAUAAAUAAGGUUUCAAAGUAAUAUUCUGUUUUUGUCUUAAAUAGAUUGUUAUAUGUGUGGAUUAUAUAAUGCGUAACCUAUUAUACAAUGUAGUUAAGUUAAUAAAUUAUUGUUCAAAA
rnacentral:sRNA from 1 species